rnacentral:rRNA from 1 species
AACAAGGAUUCCCCUAGUAACGGCGAGUGAACCGGGAAAAGCUCAAAUUUGAAAUCUGGCUGUCUUCGAUAGUCCGAGUUGUAAUCUAUAGAAGCGUUUUCCGUGCUGAACUGUGUCUAAGUCCCUUGGAACAGGGUAUCAAAGAGGGUGAUAAUCCCGUACUUGACACAACCAUCAGUGCUCUGUGAUACGUUCUCUACGAGUCGAGUUGUUUGGGAAUGCAGCUCAAAAUGGGUGGUAAAUUCCAUCUAAAGCUAAAUAUUGGCGAGAGACCGAUAGCGAACAAGUACCGUGAGGGAAAGAUGAAAAGCACUUUGGAAAGAGAGUUAAACAGUACGUGAAAUUGUUGAAAGGGAAACGAUUGAAGUCAGUCGUGUUCAUUGGAUUCAGCUAGUUCUUCUAGUCUACUUCCUUUGAACGGGUCAACAUCAGUUUUGUCCGGUGGAUAAAGGAUUUAGGAAUGUGACUCCCUCGGGAGUGUUAUAGCCUAGGUUCACAUACACUGGGUGAGACUGAGGACUGCAGCUCGCCUUUUGGCCGGGGUUCGCCCACGUUCGAGCUUAGGAUGUUGACAUAAUGGCU